CAGAGGCAGCACUGUCUCCAGCUGUCAUAUAGUGCUGUACGAAUGACCAAGCUGUUCCAGCUACUGCAAUCCCAUGGAAGACCAGAUGAACAGUUUCAGGGGACUGCCAUGAAAAACAUCACGGUGCAAUACUCAGUUGAAGUGGAACUGACCUAGCCUCUAUUCUGGUUCAGCUGUAAUUGACUUGCUGGCUGUCUGCUGUUACUGCAGAGUAGGACAACCCCAGAACUAUCUUUCUCUCACUGAAAUCACCAAGGAAGAAUAUUCUACAAGAAAUAAUCCAGGAGAAGGAAAGCAGUGGUCGGAACAAAAAGAAGUCUGAAGGAAGAAAACUGUAAUGAUGCUUAUUACAACCCAACAUCAUCCUUUCCAUGGACGGACUUCCUAAAGUGAGACAGGGAUCAGCCCCCACAUUGCCUGAGUCUUGACAAGUAAAAAUCUU